GGGCUGAUGGCGCAGUGGUAGCGCGUCCGCUUUGCAUCUCUGCAAAAUUGCGGAAGGUCUGGGGUUCGAUCCCCCAUUAGUCCA